CAAUUUAUUUCGAUAUCAUAAAGGGAAAAUCGGCUAUCGUAGUAAGAAUGUAAAAGAGUUUACUAUGAUAGCCGAUUUUCCCUUUAUGAUAUCGAAAUAAAUU
rnacentral:pre_miRNA from 1 species